rnacentral:rRNA from 1 species
UACAGAGGGGGCAAGCGUUAUUCGGAAUUAUUGGGCGUAAAGGGCGCGUAGGCGGCCUGGCAAGUGGAAGGUGAAUCCCUCGGCUUAACCGAGGAACUGCCCUCCAAACUGCUUGGCUUGAGACCGGGAGAGGUGAGUGGAAUUCCCAGUGUAGCGGUGAAAUGCGUAGAUAUUGGGAGGAACACCAGUGGCGAAGGCGGACUCACUGGACCGGUACUGACGCUGAGGCGCGAAAGCUAGGGGAG